GCCUAGUUAGCUUAGUUGGUAGUGCGUCUGCCUUGUAAGCGCUAGGCCGCGGGUUCGAUUCCCGCGCCGGGGCG
rnacentral:tRNA from 1 species